CUAGCUAGCCCCACCAGCCCAAUGCAAUUUGUAUUGGACUUGAAGCAUGCGCUCAGAGUGUUUCUCUGUUGAAGUGGACGGAGAUUAUUUUACUUCCUGGUGGGGCUAGCCCCACCGGGACCGCCAUGGACAUAUAUGGUUCGUUCCACUAUGGCAUCAUCUCGUCUUUCACAGUUCAUUGGCUGUAGGGUGAGGUACGUGAUGAGUCAUGACUCGAGUAACCUCCGACCUCACAACGUGCCGCGCGAAAGAAGUCCGGUAGCGAAGAAGAGAAGGAGAAGGAUAACUUUGCUAACAAACAUGCCGGAGGCACACAAACGAAUACGAAUCGACAACAUGAAUGUGGUAGAUCAUCUAUUGGAGCACAGAUUUGAGACCCUUAUUCUGGAGGAAAAUGUUUGAGGAAUCCAUCUGUGCCGCCCAGUUGAUCACCGAGGACGAGGGCUUGGGUCGGCUGGCCCACACGGUGCAAGUCUUGGUGGACCUUGCGCCGACUGCUGCCAGCCACCGCCGCGCUAGCAGACCGGAGCCGCUAGGGGCGGACAGGCUAAGCACUGCUCCAUCCUUCUCUUGAAAGUUAAAGAUGGAUUUCUAAAAACAGGCGUUUAGUUCGAUUUUUUUGGUUUUCAAGGAGGCCUAUAUAAAUUAUGGGAAGUGGAAGUCGAGCAACUUGUUUUAAAGUUGAUUCAUAGUUUUUUUUUGUUAGGAUCUUUAACUUUAAACAUUUUUUUACUCGUCAAACAUCUAAUUAUCAUGCAAUAGGCCUAUCUCACAAAAAUCGGAAAUGACGUCACACCGGGUAAACAUUCUUCCGGCAAAGUCAUUUCAGCUGUUGGCAUCAACACAAAAAUGCAGCGUUUCUUCGCCACUUCCCUGGUGGGUUUUCCAAAAUUACGAUUUGAAGAUGUGCAGAAGAUUGUGGAGUCACACUCAGCAACACCACAGUCCAGGCUGAGAAAGGGGUACAAGUUCUUUGUGGAGGAGUUCGUACACAAUUAUCAAGGUAAGUGGUCUAAGGUGUUUUGUUGUUGUCAGUAGGCUACUCAAUGGCCUUGCUCAUUCAUGUUUUGUGAUGACAAGCAAACCAUAUACGAUCCAUAUAAAUCGUCAGAAAUAUUGUCUGUGUGUAAAAUGAUCAUAUUUGUUAUGUGUAGACUAUAAUAUUAUGAAUAUAAUUUAGGGAUGCACCGAAAUAAAUUCGUGGCCAAAACCGAAAUCGAAUAUACUGAAACAGUUGGCCGAAGGCCGAAACCGAAUACUGAAUGUGUCUUUUUUUUCCACCAUUGCAUAAAUCAAACAAUUAAAUGACCUUUAUAAACUUUUUUAUCUUGCUUUUCUAUAAAAAAAAUUGAUAUAAAAUAUUUAUUUAAUACUGAACGUUUUCUAACCUUCCAGCAGACAUUAUAGCAAGAAUUUAAGAACAAUGUACCUUUGAAUAAGUGAGUAAAUCUUUUUUUUUUUUUUUUAUAAAUAAAUCAAAUGUUCAGUGUAUUAUGUUCGGCCUUUAUUCACUCCUUCGGCCGAAACCGAACAUUAUGUUUUGGGCCAUUUUCGGUCGAACAUGUUCGGUGGCCGAAUAUUCGGUGCAUCCCUAAUAUAAUUAGCCAUGGUGGCUAUGAAGUCUCCGUGUGUAGCGUUAGCAUUUUAGCAUUAGGUUAACCAAGGAUAGGUUCAGCUAGUUAUUUGCUGACUUGUUUUUGUCCGAUCAGUGACAUAUUAUUAACAUUAUGUAUAUGCUCACUGUCAAAUAUAGUUGUUGGAAAGGUGGUAGUGAGAGGUAGAUGCAACCAGUCGAUGAGGAGGAAUGAGGAGCCCCACAUACUACAGGUUUCUGCUGAGUUAGGGCCCGUUGGCCCAAGUCUGUUUGUUUUGAUAGUCUGUCUGGACCAACAGCUGCAGUUGCAGUUUUCCUCUUCUUCUGAAGUUCAGGUCAUUUUCAUUGUUCUUUCUUACAAACAGUACCGUAGCGUGCUUAAGACUUGGCCCACCUAGCUUGCUGCAAUGUUGUGGCUGUACAGACCUAUGUAUUUUUCUUCCUCUUCAUUAAGGCACAAGCCGUAAAUAAAGGAAAUUUGUUCAGUGCAUUAAAAGGACAAACAUCUAGGCUAGUUCAUGUUAUAACAUUGCUAAAACAACAGAUGUAAUGGUGGCCCAAGAGUUUGUACAUGGCUUUUCUGCGGUUGCAGACUCCUUGCCGGUUUCCAAUGGCCUUAUAUCAAGGUCCUACCUACUAAGUUCAGUAACUAAAUUCUUAUUGUGUUCACAGAUCACCCUGGAGGCUGUUGGACAACUUGGUCCCUCAGAGCACAGUAGCUGUGCUGCGGGCAAAGGCUUCUGUAGCCAUGUAACCGCUCUGCUCUUCCAGACAGCGCAUUAUGUGCAGCUGGGCCUUGAGGUGGUUCCACCUUCCCUGGUCUGUACCAGUCAACCACAGAUGUGGCAUCAACCUAGAACACAGGGAAUCCAUCCGGAGGCUGUGAGUGACAUUGUGGUGAAAAAAAGCCAAGUCAGUGGGGAAGAGUCAAGUACACACUCUACAGAGCGGCCCCUACCAGAACAACACAUCUUGGUGUCGGGAGCAAAGCUGAGUGAGAUUCACCCCUCGCCCUUUGAUGUCCCAAAUCCUAGAGGGAAUAUCCAGCUUGGAGUUGGUUCCAUCUCAGCUGUGCUGACCUGGAAGAUGUCAGCAAUGACCUGUUCUUUAAGGCCAGUUGCUACUCUACAACAGUAGAUGACAAACUCAUCAAUGACUGGAAUCUUCCUUGAAGGCCUUGGUGUUGGAAUCGCCUCUUGUCCAAUCCUCUGUGCUUUGCUCCAAUAAACAAUAUAUUGUGUUGAGGGGCAAACAGACUCCCAAAACACUUGAAACACUCUGUUGAGGACAGUUUGUGGCCCCAUGGACAUUUCUUGCAGCCUUGCCUCCAGCUCAGCAAUAUACUCCAGGGCAUCAUCCAGUGCACCUACAAAAAAUUAAGACAAAUCGGUCUUCAUUACCAUUCAUUAGUAUUCAUACUUUAUUUUUAUUGUAUUGUUAUUCGGUAUACUUAACCGUAUAUUUAUUAUUUAUUUAUUUGUACUGUUUUCUGUUUUUCUUUUUUAUAUAUUAACAAUAAGUUAAAUGUUGUGUGUUGUACAUAGAGAGCAAAAACCAAAGUCAAAUUCCUCGUUUGUUCGCAAACCUGGCCAAUAAAGCUGAAUCUGAAUCUGAAUUAAUAUGCAACCCCAGUUUAACAGUACGUCUGAUGUUGAUUGAAUGUUUUAACGUUAACCAUGCCAUGUUUGGCAAAAGUAUACAAUAGCCCAACAAGUGUUGAACACAAAUAACAGACACGUUCGAGUACCUGUUUGGGGUGCCCCCUUCUUGGUGGCCGUGUGAGCGGGGACUCGAACCUGAGUCUACAGAGUGUUAGCCAACACUCUUACCGCUGCAUCACCAAGACGCCGACUAGAACAUUCCCGGAAGACCUACUUGACUUUACAAUUCAGCAGACUUAGAAAUAAUAGACUCAAUUUAACACAAUGCCAUUGACAUUCCCAGGACCUAAGCCCCAGUCUCCGGAUUGAAAAUCACAAGCUCUCCCUGCAGCACCAGACACAGUGGCGUCACUAGGCUGUUUUAUUCGGGGCUAAAGCCCCGGAUCUAAUUUGAUUAGCCCCGAAUCUUUUUUCUUAAAAAAAGAAAAGAAAAAAAUAUUGUAUAUAUAUUUUUAUUUUGCUGCAUGCAGAGCCUGUGCCAUAUCCGCACGUCGCACAUGCUCCCAUUUGUUGGGACUCUUGCGUAGCUUACUGCUAGGAAUUUCUGUUCUACUGUUCUUCUGUUCUCAAGAUUUUAAGCCAUGAAUUGAUGAACUUGCAUUGAAGAAAAUAUGUCAGUUUUCUGUGGGCUGUAAAUAGGCCAAUGAGGCUAAAUAGCAUGCCAAUAUUGAUGACUGAUUGUGUCAAGUGUCUAAGGAUGAAUGCUAACAUGAUUUCUUUCCAACUUUUGCCUUAGGUUACAAUUUAUCUAACUAGCUAGCUGCUCACCCUUUUCAAUUCCAAUGGUGGCUGUCAUUUCAUUACCAAUGUUAAGUGUCAUAAAUAGUUAACACUGGUGCUGAAUCAUGAUUCCUAAAAAAUAAAUACCCAAAACAUGUGAUAUGUUUUAAAUUUGCAGAAAGUUUUGAAAAAUCCAGGAUGCCCGAGAGCCUUACUGCAUUAUAUUCCAUAAUAGUUGUUUCUUUAGGAACCUGAAUGUUGUCUUUUCCUGCACAGAAAACAAAAUAUUUAAACUAUAAAAUGAUGUGGAAAAGGCACAGAUAGAUUAAUAAAAAUCCACCAGAAUGAAGGAAAUUAAGUUUGUUUGACUCUCAAAAUUUUCUGGGGGAGCACCCCCAUACCCCCCACCUAUAAUUUGUCCCCCAAAAUGUUGAAAUGAAACCUACCCUAUAUGGCCCUGUGCGCAGGUUGUAUACAAUACAUUCAUACACAUGUUGUUUUUACUUUUUGGAUUAAAAAGAAGGCAUGUCAGCAAACUCCAUGUCGGCCCUUAGUGUGAUUAUCAUUUCAUCAUUGAGUGGCCCUUUGUGAAAAUUAGUUUGACACCCCUGAUAUAAUGUAAGGUCGGUCUCACUUGUAUUCAUUUUACUCUGAAAUAACUUGAAUGGAACUUUAGAUGUCUGGGGAUAGGCAGCAGUCAGGUAGCUAUUCAAAGCUAUAAUUACCUGCCUAUUUUUUUUUUUUAGGUAAAGCAUUAUGAACAAAAAUGUGCAUUCGCAAUAAAGCAUACAACAAAAUGUGCCUGUCCUAUUCCAUCUUGGGCUAAGCCCCGGAUGUUUCAGAAACCUAGAAACACCCCUGACAGACAGUGAGUUCAGAAGAUCAGAGUUUCAGAAGAUCAGAGGAUAUAUAUGACCUAACAAUACAUGACAAUUUUUAAAGAACAUGUCUGCUGCUUCUAUUGUUUGAGUCCUUGUGUUUAUUGUGUUCAUGUAAGGGACUGUUCUUCUAUUGUUUGAGUCCUUGAGUUUAUUGUGUACAUGUGAGGGACUGUUUUUCUGUUUGGUUAAUAACGACUCAGCGGGUUCACUGAAUGUUCUCUGUGUUCAGCAGAGGAUCAAUUUACAUUUUAAGUUCGGGGGUUCACUGAAUAAAAAGCACAAU
ensembl:lncRNA